CAGAAAAUAGUUUAGUGAAGAAUACCAGCUUUGGGAGUUGGAGGCAGAGGUUUGAAGUCCUCUUUUUCUGA
rnacentral:tRNA from 1 species